AGAGUUUGAUCCUGGCUCAGAUUGAACGCUGGCGGAAUGCUUUACACAUGCAAGUCGAGCGGCAGCGCGGGGCAACCUGGCGGCGAGCGGCGAACGGGUGAGUAAUGCAUCGGAACAUGUCCAGUCGUGGGGGAUAGCCCGCCGAAAGGCGGAUUAAUACCGCAUACGCCCGGGAGGGGAAAGCGGGGGACCGUAAGGCCUCGCGCGAUUGGGUUGGCCGAUGUCCGAUUAGCUUGUUGGUGAGGUAAAGGCUUACCAAGGCGAUGAUCGGUAGCUGGUCUGAGAGGAUGAUCAGCCACACUGGGACUGAGACACGGCCCAGACUCCUACGGGAGGCAGCAGUGGGGAAUUUUGGACAAUGGGGGCAACCCUGAUCCAGCCAUUCCGCGUGAGUGAAGAAGGCCUUCGGGUUGUAAAGCUCUUUUGUCCGGAGCGAAACGGUGCAGGUGAAUAUCCUGCGCUACUGACGGUACCGGAAGAAUAAGCACCGGCUAACUACGUGCCAGCAGCCGCGGUAAUACGUAGGGUGCGAGCGUUAAUCGGAAUUACUGGGCGUAAAGCGUGCGCAGGCGGUUUUGUAAGCCAGAUGUGAAAUCCCCGGGCUUAACCUGGGAAUGGCAUUUGGGACUGCAAGGCUUGAGUAUGGCAGAGGGGACUAGAAUUCCUGGUGUAGCAGUGAAAUGCGUAGAGAUCAGGAGGAAUACCGAUGGCGAAGGCAGGUCCCUGGGUUAAUACUGACGCUCAUGCACGAAAGCGUGGGGAGCAA
rnacentral:rRNA from 1 species